AUCGCUUCUCGGCCUUUUGGCUAAGAUCAAGUGUAGAAAAGUACAGCAUUAGGAUUCAUCGUGGCCCUUAAAUUAGACUCAACCGGAUUAAAAUACCUGAUUCCCUACUUACAAGCUAGGUGAGCUUGCUCAAGUUAUUUAACUUUUCUAAGCUUCAGUUUCUUUAAUUGCAGAGUAAUGACAUCUACU